rnacentral:misc_RNA from 1 species
ACACACACACACACACACACACGCACACAUAUAUAAUUCAGGCAAUUUAGACUAUGGCGCCUUGUUUCGAAAAGGCCUCGCCUCGCCUCGCCUCUCGGCUCUCGCAUCUCGCCUAAGGCCAUAAAGUCCCCNNNNNNNCACUUGUGUGUUCAUAGGUUGGUUUGGAUUAAGGACAAAGUUCAUCCAAAACCAAACCAACCUU